UACGGGGGGGGCAAGCGUUGUUCGGAAUUACUGGCGUAAAGGGCUCGUGAGGCGGCCAACUAAGUCAGACGUGAAAUCCCUCGGCUUAACCGGGGAACUGCGUCUGAUACUGGAUGGCUUGAAUCCGGGAGAGGGAUGCGGAAUUCCAGGUGUAGCGGGUGAAAUGCGUAGAUAUCUGGAGGAACACCGGUGGCGAAGGCGGUUCUCUGGGCCUUACCUGACGCUGAGGAGCGAAAGCGUGGGGAGGCGAACAGG
rnacentral:rRNA from 1 species